ACUUUCUCUUAUGGGUUGCUUCCAUAAAAGUAACCAUAUCUGGAAGUUCUCCUGUCACUUUAUCACGCUAAACAGUUUUGAAACACACAAAUAUGUCAUUAUAGAAAACUUGGACUGAAUUUGACAGAAAGUAUAUUAUAUGCAAAAAUAAUACAAAUUACCAUCUCUUCUCUUCUCCGGACAUAUGAAAUUGACCCACAUGUAUGCUUAGCUAUCCCUAAGCCACCAAGAUCGCUCUUCUUAUUUUGGAGUUGGCUUUGCUUCUCUUGAUGCUUUUCUCGUUUUCCCAAAAAGCAAUAAGACUAAUCCAAAGAGAGUUCAGCAUCCAUUGGGGCUUCCCCUUGUCUUGCUUCUAUGCCUUUUUCCAUUCAUGGACAUAUCCAGCAAACGAGAUGCACACAAAGUCUCA